GACGAACGCUGGCGGCGUGCCUAAUACAUGCAAGUCGAACGCAGUGGGGACGGGUGAGUAACACGUGGGUAACCUCCCAUGAGAGUGGAGAACACUUGGAAACAGGUGCUAAAACUGAUACUGAUGGAUGGAUCCGCUGUGCAUUUGCCAGUUGGUGAGGGACCGGCUCACCAAGGCCACGCAGCAUAGCUGACCUGAGAGGAUGACCGGACACACUGGAACUGGGCAACGGCCCAGUCUCCUACGGGAGGCAGCAGUGGGGAAUCUUCGGCAAUGGACGAAAGUCUGACCCAGCAACGCCGCGUGAGUGAAGAAGGUUUUCGGAUCGUAAAGCUCUGUUGUUAGGGAAGCGGUAUCUAACCAGAAAGCCACGGCUAACUACGUGCCAGCAGCCGCGGUAAUUC
rnacentral:rRNA from 1 species